rnacentral:rRNA from 1 species
AUACGAAGGGGGCUAGCGUUGUUCGGAAUUACUGGGCGUAAAGCGCACGUAGGCGGAUACUUAAGUUAGGGGUGAAAUCCCAGGGCUCAACCCUGGAACUGCCUUUAAUACUGGGUAUCUUGAGUUCGAGAGAGGUGAGUGGAAUUCCGGGUGUAGAGGUGAAAUUCGUAGAUAUUCGGAGGAACACCAGUGGCGAAGGCGGCUCACUGGCUCGAUACUGACGCUGAGGUGCGAAAGCGUGGGGAGC